rnacentral:sRNA from 2 species
CGAGUACAUCGUUGAUAUUCGAGAAUAUGAUGUUCCAUACCACGUUCGAGUUUCCAUUGAUAAAGAUAUUCGGAUCGGGAAAUGGUAUUCAGUCCAGUCCAAGAACGGAGUUAUUUCUUUAAGCUGUAUUGAGGACCGUCUCAAGCGAGCGGAUCCUGUCGUCCUGGCUUAUGAUAUUGAGACGACCAAACUGCCCUUGAAAUUCCCGGAUCCAGUUAUCGACCAAAUAAUGAUGAUAUCAUACAUGAUUGAUGGACAAGGAUUUCUCAUAACGAAUAGGGAAAUCGUCUCUGAAGAUAUUGCCGAUUUCGAGUAUACGCCGAAACCAGAAUAUGACGGGCCCUUUACCAUCUUUAAUGAACCAGAUGAAAAAAAGGUCAUCGAACGUUUCUUCGCUCAUAUUAAAGAGGCGAAACCUACUGUAAUUGCAACUUACAACGGUGACUUCUUUGACUGGGCAUUCGUUGAGGCUCGAGCUAGCGUGCAAGGGAUUGACAUGUAUGCUGAGAUCGGGUUUCGGAAAAAUAGUGAAGAUAUCUACCAAAGCAAUUACUGCGUUCAUAUGGAUUGCUUUGCAUGGGUUAAUCGAGACAGCUACCUCCCACAAGGAAGUCGAGGUCUAAAAGCUGUCACCGUGGCAAAACUGGGCUAUGAUCCAGACGAGCUUGAUCCCGAGGUCAUGACGAGAUACGCUAGCGAACGUCCCCAGACUUUGGCUGAAUACUCAGUUUCUGAUGCAGUGGCAACAUAUUACCUCUACAUGAAAUACAUCCAUCCGUUUAUUUUCUCCCUCUGUACGAUUAUUCCUCUUAACCCUGACGAUGUUCUCCGUAAGGGCACGGGAACACUCUGUGAGAUGUUGCUUAUGGUACAGGCAUACAGGGG